rnacentral:rRNA from 1 species
AUUGAACGCUGGCGGCAUGCCUUACACAUGCAAGUCGAACGGCAGCAUGAUCUAGCUUGCUAGAUUGAUGGCGAGUGGCGAACGGGUGAGUAAUACAUCGGAACGUGCCCUGUAGUGGGGGAUAACUAGUCGAAAGAUUAGCUAAUACCGCAUACGACCUGAGGGUGAAAGUGGGGGACCGCAAGGCCUCAUGCUCUAGGAGCGGCCGAUGUCUGAUUAGCUAGUUGGUGGGGUAAAGGCUCACCAAGGCGACGAUCAGUAGCUGGGCUGAGAGGACGAACAGCCACACGGGGACUGAGACAGGGCCCAGACCCCUACGGGAGGCAGGAGGGGGGAAUUUUGGAAAAUGGGCGAAAGCCUGAUCAAGCAAGGCCGGGUGGGUGAAGAAGGCCUUCGGGUUGUAAAGCACUUUUGUCGGGAAAGAAAGGGAGCUGGUUAAAACCGGGGGGGGAUGACGGUACCGAAAGAAUAAGGACCGGCUAACUACGU